CUCGAACGUAAGAUGACUGUAGGUGAAAGCUUACAUCUCUUCGGAGCAUUUUACGAGGUGCUGCAUGGUUGUCGUCAGCUCGUGCCGUGAGGUGUCGGGUUAAGUCCCAUAACGAGCGCAACCCCUAUCAUUAGUUGCCAUCAGGUCAAGCUGGGGACUCUAAUGAAACUGCCUACGCAAGUAGUGAGGAAGGUGGGGAUGACGUCAAAUCAGCACGGCCCUUACGUCCAGGGCUACACACGUGCUACAAUGGUCGGUACAAAGGGCAGCUACCCGGUGACAGGAUGCUAAUCUCAAAAGCCGGUCUCAGUUCGGAUUGGAGUCUGAAACCCGACUCCAUGAAGUUGGAAUCGCUAGUAAUCGCGCAUCAGCAUGGCGCGGUGAAUACGUUCCCGGGCCUU
rnacentral:rRNA from 1 species